GGGUUUGACAUGCUAGUGUAGGGAAACCGAAAGGUGACCGACCCUUUCGGGGAGCUAGCACAGGUGCUGCAUGGCUGUCGUCAGCUCGUGUCGUGAGAUGUUCGGUUAAGUCCGCUAACGAGCGCAACCCUCGCUGUGUGUUAUAUGUGUCACAUGGGACUGCCGGCCGUUAAGCCGGAGGAAGGUGGGGAUGAUGUCAGGUCAGCAUGGCCUUUAUGUCCUGGGCUACACACACGCUACAAUGGUCAGCACAAUGGGUCGCUAAGCCGCAAGGUGGAGCCAAUCCUCAAAGUUGGCCUCAGUUCAGAUUGUAGGCUGCAACUCGCCUGCAUGAAGAUGGAGUUGCUAGUAAACGCAGGUCAGCUAUACUGCGUUGAAUACGUUCCCGGGGCUU
rnacentral:rRNA from 2 species